rnacentral:rRNA from 2 species
ACGGAAGGCAGCAGUGGGGAAUAUUGCACAAUGGGCGAAAGCCUGAUGCAGCGACGCCGCGUGAGUGAAGGAGUAUCUCGGUAUGUAAAGCUCUAUCAGCAGGGAAGAAAAUGACGGUACCUGACUAAGAAGCCCCGGCUAACUACGUGCCAGCAGCCGCGGUAAUACGUAGGGGGCAAGCGUUAUCCGGAUUUACUGGGUGUAAAGGGAGCGUAGACGGUUUGGCAAGUCUGAAGUGAAAUGCGGGGGCUCAACUCCUGAACUGCUUUGGAAACUGUCGAACUAGAGUGCAGGAGAGGUAAGUGGAAUUCCUAGUGUAGCGGUGAAAUGCGUAGAUAUUAGGAGGAACACCAGUGGCGAAGGCGGCUUACUGGACUGUAACUGACGUUGAGGCUCGAAAGCGUGGGGAGCAAACAGGAUUAGAUACCCUGGUA